AAAUUCGUUGUGUGAAAUUUUCUACACUUAACUCAAUUUUGUUAGCAAGAAAUGGAUGUAUUCGAUUGCUUUUUUUAAG